GAAACGACUGCUAAGACUGGAUAGGAAAAGUAAGGGCAUCUUCACUUUUUUAAAAGACCUUCUUUGAAGGUAUACUUAAGGAGGGGCUUGCGACACAUUAGUUAGUUGGCAGGGUAAAGGCCUACCAAGACUAUGAUGUGCAGCUGGACUGAGAGGUUGAACAGCCACAUUGGGACUGAGACACGGCCCAAACUCCUACGGGAGGCAGCAGUAGGGAAUUUUCGGCAAUGGAGGAAACUCUGACCGAGCAACGCCGCGUGAACGAUGAAGUAUUUCGGUAUGUAAAGUUCUUUUAUUAAGGAAGAAAAAAGAGUGGAAAAACCCCCUUGACGGUACUUAAUGAAUAAGCCCCGGCUAAUUAUGUGCCAGCAGCCGCGGUAAUACAUAAGGGGCGAGCGUUAUCCGGAAUUAUUGGGCGUAAAGGGUGCGUAGGCGGUUUAAUAAGUCUAUGGUUUAAUUUCAGUGCUUAACGCUGUUAUGCUAUAGAAACUGUUUUACUAGAGUGAGAUAGAGGCAAGCGGAAUUCCAUGUGUAGCGGUAAAAUGCGUAAAUAUAUGGAGGAACACCAGAGGCGUAGGCGGCUUGCUGGGUCUUUACUGACGCUGAGGCACGAAAGCGUGGGGAGCAAACAGGAUUAGAUACCCUGGUAGUCCACGCCGUAAACGAUGAGUACUAAGUGUCGGGUAAAACCGGUACUGAAGUUAACACAUUAAGUACUCCGCCUGAGUAGUACGUACGCAAGUAUGAAACUUAAAGGAAUUGACGGGACUCCGCACAAGCGGUGGAUCAUGUUGUUUAAUUCGAAGAUACACGAAAAACCUUACCAGGUCUUGACAUUUUCUUGCGAAGUUAUAGAAAUAUAAUGGAGGUUAUCAGGAAAACAGGUGGUGCAUGGUUGUCGUCAGCUCGUGUCGUGAGAUGUUAGGUUAAGUCCUAAAACGAGCGCAACCCUUGUCGUUAAUUGCCAGCAUGUAAUGAUGGGGACUUUAACGAGACUGCCAAUGAAAAAUUGGAGGAAGGUGGGGAUUACGUCAAAUCAUCACGCCCCUUAUGAUCUGGGCUACAAACGUGAUACAAUGGUUGAUACAAAGAGUAGCUGAAACGCGAGUUCUUAGCCAAUCUCACAAAAUCAAUCUCAGUUCGGAUUGAAGUCUGCAACUCGACUUCAUGAAGUUGGAAUCGCUAGUAAUCGCGAAUCAGCAUGUCGCGGUGAAUACGUUCUCGGGGUUUGUACACACCGCCCGUCA
rnacentral:rRNA from 1 species